rnacentral:rRNA from 1 species
UCNNNAGAUAGCCAGCAUGUCUAGUACAUGCCGUAUUAAGGCGAAACCGCGAAUGGCUCAUUAAAUCAGUUAUGGUUCCUUGGAUCGUACCUUACUACUUGGAUAACUGUGGCAAUUCUAGAGCUAAUACAUGCAGCAGAGCUCCGACCUUCGGGGACGAGCGCUUUUAUUAGACCAAAACCAAUCGGGCUUCGGUCCGUUUGUUGUGGUGACUCUGUAUAACUUUGGGCUGAUCGCACGGGCUCGACCCGGCGACGUAUCUUUCAAGUGUCUGCCUUAUCAACUGUCGAUGGUAGGUUACGCGCCUACCAUGGUUGUAACGGGUAACGGGGAAUCAGGGUUCGAUUCCGGAGAGGGAGCCUGAGAAACGGCUACCACAUCCAAGGAAGGCAGCAGGCGCGCAAAUUACCCACUCCCGGCACGGGGAGGUAGUGACGAAAAAUAACAAUACGGGACUCUUUUGAGACCCCGUAAUUGGAAUGAGUACACUCUAAAUCCUUUAACGAGGAUCCAUUGGAGGGCAAGUCUCGUGCCAGCAGCCGCGGUAAAACUAGCUCCAAUAGCGUAUAUUAAAGUUGUUGCGGUUAAAAAGCUCGUAGUUGGAUCUCAGUUCCAGACGGGUGGUCCGCCAACCGGCGGUUACUGCCCGGUCUGAACAGAUAGCGUCGGUUUCCUUUGAUGAUCUUCACCGGUUGUCUUGGGUGACCGGCAAGUUUACUUUGAAAAAAUUAGAGUGCUCAAAGCAUGCGUGACGCAUGAAUAAUGGUGCAUGGAAUAAUGGAAUAGGAUCUCGGUUCUAUUUUGUUGGUUUUCGGAACACGAGAUAAUGAUUAAGAGGGACAGACGGGGGCAUUCGUAUUGCGACGCUAGAGGUGAAAUUCUUGGACCGUCGCAGGACGACUACUGCAGAUUUUUUUUNUUNNNAAAAAA